ensembl:lncRNA
GCAGGUGGUUUCUAAGCAGGUGGUUUCCAAGCAAGUGAUUGAUAAGCAAGUGAUUGGUAAGCAAGUGAUUGGUAAGCAAGUGAUUUGUGAUAAAAGGAAUCAAAAUAAUAGAAAUGAGAAUAAGGUUAUUACUUAUUUGGGCAGUGCUGACAGUAGUGGUAGUGGUCUUGUUACAAUGAAAGAUUUUCGUGAAUAUAUACCCUACGAACAAUUAUGUUUAAAGGAGUUUAUAAUUAUACGUAACUUUACUUUGUAUAAUAUUUUUUAUGAAUAUGAUGGAAAUAAUACGGUUUUGUUAAUGCCAUCCCAACAAAAUUUAAUUAUUGCAAAACAAUUACAUUUUAUACGUUUAUAUGUAAAAGAUAAUAAAAAAAUUAAUAAAAAGAUUUUUUUGAAAACAGGUAAUCGUAGCAGUAGUAGCAGUAGUAGUAGCAGUAGUAGUAUUAGUAAUGGUAUUGGUAGUGGUAUUGGUAGUGGUAUUGGUAGUGGUAUUGGUAAUAGCUUUAGUGGUAAAUCAAAUAUAUGGUAUAAAAAUGUAAACACAAAAAACUAUUUAAAUAUUCAGAUUAGUAUUGAAAAUAAUAAAAAAUGUAUAAAUAUAUAUCCUUUCUUUUUUAUAUAUGUUUUAUUUGAUGAAAAGAAGUUACGAUUUGAAGAUAAAUAUAAGGAAAGUAGUGGAAACAGAAAUAAUUUUAUUAAGGGUUUAGGGGUUAGGUCUAUAAACGGAACAGAUCAGAAUGAUACGAACACAUAUAUCCGUUUAAAUUUUUUCAAAAAUAAUUCUUAUGUUAAUACAUGUACAAUAAAAAAUGAAACAGAGAAAUUAUUAUCAGUUCCUUUUAAUUUUUUAAACAAAUGUAAAUUUAUUCAAUUAGUUUUAAAAACAAAUAAACAAAUGUUUGUAAGUAAAAAAAUCAAGUUUAUAGAUUUAUUAAGAAUGAGAAAAAUUGCAUAUAUAGACAUUUAUGGUAGAAUAUCUUCUUUUUAUUGUACUUUUUUUUAUUUAUAUAAUAUAAGUGGUAAUGACCAUAGUAAUGAUGAGCAGAAAAUGGAGAAGGAGAAGGGGGAAGUACAAAACAAUAGUAGUAACUUUCGAAGUGUUGUUAAAAAAACUGAGAAUAUAAACAUAAGAUACUCAACGAAUAUACAUUUUAACAAACAAUUGAAUAAUACAGAUUUUAAAGUAAAGAAAGGAAAUGAUAUAGAAAUGUUAAAACGGGAAGACUUAUAUGGAGGAAGAAAAAACACAUUGUAUGAGGUAAUAAAAGAAAAAAAAAAAAAAAAAAAAAAAAAGUUUGUAAAGAAUUACCAGAAAGAUACAAUAAAAUGGAUAAAAUAACGAGCGAUACACAAGACGGAAUGGAAAAAAUGCAAGACGAAGCAAAAAAAAUGGAAGACG